GGACACGAGAAAUCUUGUGUGAAUCUGCCGGGACCAUCCGGUAAGGCUAAAUACUCCCAUGUGACCGAUAGUGAACUAGUACCGUGAGGGAAAGGUGAAAAGUACUCCUAACGGAGAGUGAAAUAGAACCUGAAACCGUAUGCCUACAAGCAGUCAGAGCUCCAGUUAUCUUCGGAUAGCGGAGUGAUGGCGUGCCUUUUGCAUAAUGAGCCAGUGAGUUACUCGUAUAUUGCAAGGUUAAGACUAUAAGGUCGGAGCCGUAGCGAAAGCAAGUCUGAAUAGGGCGUUGAGUAAUAUGCGGUAGACCCGAAACCGAGUGAUCUAGCCAUGGCCAGGAUGAAGUCCCGGUAACACGAGAUGGAGGUCCGAACCCACCAGCGUUGAAAAGCUGGGGGAUGAGCUGUGGUUAGGGGUGAAAGGCCAAUCAAACUCGGAGAUAUCUGGUUCUCGCCGAAAUGCCUUUAGGGGCAGCGUCAUGUUAGUAUACCGGGGGUAGAGCACUGAAUGGGCUAGGGGGCCUACAAGCUUACCGACCCCAAUCAAACUCCGAAUACCGGUAUUAUAAUGCAUGGCAGUGAGCUCAUGGGGGAUAAGCUUCAUGAACAAAAGGGAAAGAACCCAGACCAUCAGCUAAGGUCCCAAAGUCGAUGCUAAGUGAUAAAGGAUGUCAAAUCGCCCAGACAGCUAGGAGGUUGGCUUAGAAGCAGCCAUCCUUUAAAGAAAGCGUAACAGCUCACUAGUCGAGGGGUUUUGCGCCGAUAAUUUCCGGGACUAAGCAUCGCACCGAAGCUAUGGACUCUGACAUUUGUAUGUCAGAGUGGUAGGCGAGCGUUCCAUCGACCGUCGAAGGUUGACCCGUGAGGGCAGCUGGAGGAAAUGGAAAUGAGUAUGCUGGCAUGAGUAGCGAUAAAGCCUGUGAAAUGCAGGCUCGCCGCAAGCCCAAGGUUUCCUGAGUAAAGUUAAUCUGCUCAGGGUUAGUCGGACCCUAAGCCGAGGCCGAAAGGCGUAGGCGAUGGAAAACAGGUUUAAUAUUCCUGUACCAGUGCAACAUUGUUUGAACUAAGGGGGGACGCAGAAGUGAAAGGUCAGCCCGGUUUUGAUAGUCCGGGUUUAAGUGCGUAGGGAGUCCUGGUAGGCAAAUCCGCCGGGACAUUAAUCCUGAGACACGAAUAGGAGAGCCUAGCUCAUAAACUGACCCUAAUCAUGCUGCCAAGAAAAUCCUCUAUGUUAGAUGCUGCGCUGACCGUACCGUAAACGGACACACGUGGGCGAGGAGAGAAUCCUCAGGCGCUUGUGAGAAUCCAGGUUAAGGAACUCGGCAAAUUAGCCCCGUAACUUCGGGAGAAGGGGUGCCCUUAUUAGGUGAAAGACUUCGCGUCUGGAGCCGAAAAGGGUCGCAGUGACCAGGCUCAAUCGACUGUUUACUAAAAACACAGGUCUCUGCUAAGUCGCAAGACGACAUAUAGGGACUGACACCUGCCCGGUGCUGGAAGGUUAAAUGGAGGGGUUAGCUUCGGCGAAGCUCUGAAAUGAAGCCCCAGUAAACGGCGGCCGUAACUAUAACGGUCCUAAGGUAGCGAAAUUCCUUGUCGGGUAAGUUCCGACCUGCACGAAUGGUGUAACGAAUUGAGCACUGUCUCGACCUGGAGCACAGCGAAAUUGAAGUGUCGGUGAAGAUACC
rnacentral:rRNA from 1 species